AAGGCAGUUUCUGAAAAGCCUGUAAGAGAGUAGGAA
rfam:Runella slithyformis DSM 19594, complete genome.